UUCAAAAGAGAUUAAAUUUUACAUGAUGAUACCAAAAAUGGAACUUCUGCAGCAAGCCAUGGCGCCAGGCCGAAAGCUAGAAUAUGAACAAUACCAAAUUUUGGGCAAUUUCUUAGCCAGAGAGGAAUGAAAUGAGUAUCCAUACAAAUCUUUCCGCCUCUAUACAUUUUCAAAGUUUUCCCAUCCAACUCUGGAAUUUCAACUUCGAAUGGAGUAAUAGGAUACUUCUCAGGUAUCUAAAACCCGUUAAAAUUUCCAAAAAUUUGAACUCAGAUAUAUUUAUGUUUUUUCAACUUACAUUAAAGCGAAAUGCAAAUUCGUAUCUUUUUAAGUUGUGAGUGUACCAACAAACUCCUUCCCAUCUAUAACUAAUAAAUUAGACAAUAUGAAAAAUGUGUUAACCUUACUUUGUUCCAUCUUGAAGUGGCUUAAUAUUGAACCACUCUUCUCCUGAAUCUUUUAAUAAUGCCACAUAUCCUAUUAAUACCUUCAGCUCCUCUUUUAGUCUCUCUGGCCAUAAAUUAUCUAAUGGGCCUGCAUUAAUAGUGAU
rnacentral:antisense_RNA from 1 species